GCUUGGAAUAUUAAUUGCCUCUCUGUUUCAUGCCAUCGAUCUAGGUGCAUGAAGAGGAGGCCUUGUUCUAGUGUCAAGUGGUAUUGUUUGCCCAGUGCAUUAGCUAUUAUUUCCUCCACCAUUCCCCAAAAUGGGGUCAUGACCGGACAGGCCCACCAUAUAUGGUACAUUGUCCCCCAUUCCCCACAAGCUCUCCAGCAUUCAUUCUGGGUUCCCG